GUUUUAGCUUAGGUGAUUUUUUUCUAUUGUUCUUUGUUAUGUGCUUGAAGUUGCAAAUUGCUGUGGUCAAUAAAUGCUCUCUUCAGAAAACAGACUAUUCUUGUUCAAGCAUUUAUGAAUUUAGUGCCACUACCUAAAGUCUAAUCUUAAGUCUG